UACACUCCUGCGGGAGGCAGCAGUGAGGAAUAUUGGACAAUGGGUGGAAGCCUGAUCCAGCCAUCCCGCGUGCAGGAAGACGGCCCUAUGGGUUGUAAACUGCUUUUAUCUGGGGAUAAACCUACUUACGUGUAAGUAGCUGAAGGUACCAGAAGAAUAAGCACCGGCUAACUCCGUGCCAGCAGCCGCGGUAAUACGGAGGGUGCAAGCGUUAUCCGGAUUUAUUGGGUUUAAAGGGUCCGUAGGCGGACUGAUAAGUCAGUGGUGAAAUCCGACAGCUUAACUGUCGAACUGCCAUUGAUACUGUUAGUCUUGAGUAAGGUUGAAGUGGCUGGAAUAAGUAGUGUAGCGGUGAAAUGCAUAGAUAUUACUUAGAACACCAAUUGCGAAGGCAGGUCACUAAGUCUUAACUGACGCUGAUGGACGAAAGCGUGGGGAGCGAACAGGAUUAGAAACCCCGGUAGUCCCAUGA
rnacentral:rRNA from 1 species